GGUUAUAGCCAUAUGACUCUACACAUGCCUGAUUUUAUCUGAUCUUGGAAGCUAAGUAAGGUUGGGCCUGGUUGGGAUGGAAUUCUCUACCUAAGAAUAUUAAGUGCUAUAGGCU
rnacentral:rRNA from 1 species